AGAGCAGGAUGGAUGAUCGCUGCCAUGCAGACGAAAGGGCAUGGGAGAGGAAAGUCCGGGCUUCGCAGGGCAGGAUGCCAGAUAACGUCUGGUGGAGGUGACUCCCAGGAUAGUGCAACAGAGAGAUACCGCCUGACUUAUGUCAGGUAAGGGUGGAAAGGCAGUGUAAGAGACUACCGUGCUGGUGGUAACAUCAGUAGCCAUGUAAACCCCAUCCGAAGCAAGACCGAAUAGAGAGCAAUGAACCGGCCCGGUUCGCUUUCAGGUGGGUCGCUUGAAACUGUCGGUGACGGCAGUUCUAGAUAGAUGAUCAUCUUAGAAGACAUAACCCGGCUUAUAGUCCUGCUCAUUUU
rfam:Butyrivibrio hungatei strain MB2003 chromosome I, complete sequence.